AAAUUCAUGUGUGUCAGCUCCCUGUAUUAAAAAGCGCUGGAGAGAGCUGCGGACCUGUGGGGAAAUUGCCUGUUUCCCCGGGCUACUUUUAAACCUGUUUGUAAGCUUUGUAUUAAUAUAGUAUUUUAUACCCCCUGUGCCCCAGCUUGAGAAAGCCCACUGGACUAGUCCAGAUGGAUGCGAUUUUGAACUGCAGAGCGGAUGACUUGGAAGAUUACUACAACUUGCUAGGAUGUGAUGAACUGUCUACGGUUGAACAAAUUCUUGCAGAAUUUAAGAUUAAAGCCCUUGAAUGUCAUCCUGACAAACAUCCUGGAAACCCCAAAGCAGUGGAGAAUUUCCAGAAGCUGCAGCAAGCUAAGGAGAUUCUUAUUAACGAAGAGAGUCGAGCACGCUAUGAUUACUGGCGGAGAAGCAAAAUUACCAUUCCGUUCCAGCAGUGGGAGGCCCUGAGCAACUCUGUGAAAACGUCAAUGCACUGGGCUGUCCAAAAUAAGAAAGACCAAAUGCUGGAAGCUCCUGACUUGAAUAAUAGCAACAACACGACUAAUGAGAUUUGGACCCAGCAAUCUGAAAACGAUGAAAAUGGAUUGUCAGAUGGGAACAGGGAGCAAAAAGAUGUCGCAAUUCCUGAUGAGAAACCACAGUCUUCAAAGAAUCCAGACUCCCCAAGUAAAUUUAUUAUAUUGGAUCCUCCUUUUAAAUGGAGAUAUUUUUAGUUUCUGUCUGCUGGUCGGUAAGAAUUACAGACUACAACUCCACAUAACUAUUUCAGCCUGAAUAAAAGACUUUAACAGGUUUUCAGAGGCAAAUUACUGGCACUUACGUUUCCGCUGGUCAGGGGAUGCCCCAUCAGAGCUUCUGAGGAAAUUCAGAAACUAUGAGAUCUAAAAUGCAAAAUAUGCAGGAGUGUGAGAUCGUCUGUUCAACAAUUCAGUAUUUUUUGCAGCAGCUUUAAGUUAUUUGUAUUUAGUAUUCAUUCACUGUGAUGUGAACAUUGUUUGAAUAGAUGUCUUAAUACUUAUCUGUUAACACAUGUUCUAUGAGCAUUACAGAUGGAGGCUUUGUUUAAUAAGCAAGCUUUAAUAAGCAAAGCCCUUUUCAGUAUUAACAUAAAGUAGUUUUGUGUAGUUAUCUAAUAUCUUAUAUAUUGGUUCUUGUAUUAUUAAAUGUUAUGUAGUAUUUUUCUCUAUACUGUGAGGUAAAAAUAUACUCUCAGUAGAACCAAAAGUCAAUGCUAGACUCCAGGAUAUUAUGCUAUUAAGUGAUGAUCUUCCAAAAGCUGUAUGACAAUGAACUUCAAACAAAACUGUGCUUAUUUCUAAACUAUGUACUUUGGUUUUAUCUUCUUUUAUUGCAUUGUACUUACUAUAGUGACUUGUAAUACAUGCAUGCACAAUACUAUAACAAUACUAUAACUUGUUGGACAAUUACUUACAAUAUAAAUGCAGCAAGAACCUUCUUAUUAUCCAGAAGGUCACUAUGCUGGAAAAGCACUCUUAAAAAUCACCUGCAUUCUUAAUAAGUAAGUUUUUCUGCACCAAGUAUCAUUUUGGAAGACAGUUCCAGAACCUCACUUCAGAUAGAAACUUGCUUCUUACGAUUUACUGGUGGACAUCUGAUACCCCUUGUAUGUAUGCCAGCAUUGUCCUGGCUUAGUAGUAACUGCCCUCCCUGCUGUGGCCUCAUACAUGGGGCCAUAUCAGGGUUUGUAUGCUACGUAAUGAAAAUUCAGGCCAGUCAGCAUUAAUGUGUUUAAAAUCUUACAGGUCCAGUUUUUGAUAUUUUGAACAAACUUUUAAAAUUCCAUGUUGUACUUGUUCGUUUUGCAUUUUCUUCCUUUUGUGUAACCCUGGCUAAUAUGUCAGUACAUUGUACUUUUGUGUACACAAGUAAUUCCAUCGGUAAUUCUAACAAAUAAAGCUACGUACAUACAGAA